rnacentral:rRNA from 1 species
AUUGAACGCUGGCGGCAGGCCUAACACAUGCAAGUCGAACGGUAACAGGAAGACGCUUGCUUCUUUGCUGACGAGUGGCGGACGGGUGAGUAAUGUCUGGGAAACUUCCUGAUGGAGGGGGAUAACUACUGGAAACGGUAGCUAAUACCGCAUAACGUCGCAAGACCAAAGAGGGGGACCUUCGGGCCUCUUGCCAUCGGAUGUGCCCAGAUGGGAUUAGCUAGUAGGUGGGGUAACGGCUCACCUAGGCGACGAUCCCUAGCUGGUCUGAGAGGAUGACCAGCCACACUGGAACUGAGACACGGUCCAGACUCCUACGGGAGGCAGCAGUGGGGAAUAUUGCACAAUGGGCGCAAGCCUGAUGCAGCCAUGCCGCGUGUAUGAAGAAGGCCUUCGGGUUGUAAAGUACUUUCAGCGGGGAGGAAGGGAGUAAAGUUAAUACCUUUGCUCAUUGACGUUACCCGCAGAAGAAGCACCGGCUAACUCCGUG